rnacentral:rRNA from 1 species
AUUAUUAAGGAGCUCUACAUUGUAAGUAUAUAAAUAUUAUGAAAGCAAAAAAUUAUGGCGGUAUCUUAAGCUUAUCAGAGGAAUUUGCUCUUUAAUGGAUAAAACACCUUAAUCUUACUUUAGUUUGUUAAAUCAGUUUGUAUACCACUAUUAAAAUAAUAAUAUACUAUUAUUAUUAUAAUAUAACUUUUUUAUAAAAAAUUAAGUCAAGGUGCAGCAUAAAUUAAAGUAUGAAGUGAAUUACAUUGCUUAUUAGAAAGUAUAAAUGAAAUGAUAAUUUAGGAUUUGAAAGUAAAAUUGAAAUAGAAAGUUAAUUUGAAUAAAGCUCUAGGAUAUGUAC